UAAUAAUAGGUGGUGGGGAUGCACAAUCAAUAUGAAGCUUAAACUUGCAUAUGGAACAACAAUAAACAAGCCCUUGAUCUUGGGUUUUUUGGCAGAUUUGGCAAGGAAGAGAUUCUGGAUCGAAUUUUAGAAAGAGAGGAUGGUUACGGUGGCAAAUGUGCUUAAUUUUAGUUGGUAGCUCAGCACAUGUUAUAUGAAGGGCAACCUCACAAGGCGAACAACGAUAAACAAAUCCCUUGACUUGGGUUUUUUUACACAUUUGACAAGGGAGAGGCUUACUAUUGAACUGUAAAAUUAGAGAAUCCGGGCUAUGGAGAAAAUGGUUGAUUUCAGUAGGCAAAUCAACACAUUUCUUGUGUAGGAAAAUGCCAUGGUCAAGAUCAAGGUAUGCAAAAUCUAAUAAUCGAUGCCAACAUGCAAAACACUUGGCACCCUUCAAUUCUUCCAAAAAUUUUUCUAUAGAGACCAGUGCCUCUUUAUGGGGAAUAUCUUCAAGCUUUCCAAAGCCUUUUUCAGCAAUGCUUUUUGAAAGCAAAGCACAUUUGAUAUGAAGGUUAAGGUCACAAGAACAAUGAUAAACAAACUCGUCAAGUCCUUUGUCACAAAAAUCACAAAUAUUUCUGUAUGGUGGACUUACUUGAAGUUUAAGGCUGUGGUUGCAAUGAAAGGGGUGAUUUAUCUCCGAAGGAGCCUCAGCGCACAACUUGUCUAGUUAAUAUCCGCACCCUACACAGUUGAAGCUUGAGCCCGAAACAAGCUCCCCACAUCCCGAGCAAUAAGCCUUCUCACUUUCAUGGUUCUGCUUUUCAAUGCACACAAGUGGAUGUUUAUGGCUGAAGUGUUGAAGCUCCAUAUCUCUCUUUCCCUCUCGUUUCUAUGAAAGUUUUGUGGGUUAAUUAGAAGCAAGGUAUGUGGG
rnacentral:lncRNA from 1 species